CAGUGUCUGGUGGGUAGUUUGACUGGGGCGGUCUCCUCCUAAAGAGUAACGGAGGAGCACGAAGGUUGGCUAAUCCUGGUCGGACAUCAGGAGGUUAGUGCAAUGGCAUAAGCCAGCUUGACUGCGAGCGUGACGGCGCGAGCAGGUGCGAAAGCAGGUCAUAGUGAUCCGGUGGUUCUGAAUGGAAGGGCCAUCGCUCAACGGAUAAAAGGUACUCCGGGGAUAACAGGCUGAUACCGCCCAAGAGUUCAUAUCGACGGCGGUGUUUGGCACCUCGAUGUCGGCUCAUCACAUCCUGGGGCUGAAGUAGGUCCCAAGGGUAUGGCUGUUCGCCAUUUAAAGUGGUACGCGAGCUGGGUUUAGAACGUCGUGAGACAGUUCGGUCCCUAUCUGCCGUGGGCGCUGGAGAACUGAGGGGGGCUGCUCCUAGUACGAGAGGACCGGAGUGGACGCAUCACUGGUGUUCGGGUUGUCAUGCCAAUGGCACUGCCCGGUAGCUAAAUGCGGAAGAGAUAAGUGCUGAAAGCAUCUAAGCACGAAACUUGCCCCGAGAUGAGUUCUCCCUGACUCCUUGAGAGUCC
rnacentral:rRNA from 1 species